AUGUAGGCUAGGUCGGGCUGUUAGUCGUAGCCUGUACUGUAAAUCGACUUCAUGACAGGACCGAAGCCUGGAUGAGGGUUAGUUAUAUAUUAGUGGUCUUGAUUCGUACAAAGAUCCUUUGUCCUAUGGAGCCGAUAUUUUUGGUAAAUGAGUCAGACUAGGAAUAGAGAAAGAAACAACAAUUAAAUAUUAAAAAUGAAAUCUAAAUUUGAAUUACAAUUAUACUUUAAAAGUUUCUUUCGUUCAAAGCAGCUCUAACCAUUAAUGUUGACGUUCAUGGGGUAGCAGAGGGGAGGAAAAAUCAGGAUAAACCAUUAAUGUAUACUAAUUCGACUUCCAGGCGUGCCUACUU
rnacentral:SRP_RNA from 1 species